rnacentral:lncRNA from 10 species
AUGAAGGGUCAUCACUGAGGAGACUGAAGGGGAAUUUUUCAAACCAGGUUUUCUUUCCUCAUGCUCAUGACUUACUGGAUCCUUUCCUGCAUUAAAAUAAAAAAGACAAACCUUUUUUAGAGGAAGACGCUGUUGUGGACAUUUUUCAUAGAGAAACGUACUAUUUGUAGACUUUUUUGGCUCUCCGCCAAUUAAAGCUUUACCGCAGAGCUAUACAUGGAAUCGCCGGCUCCUAACCAUUUUACGGAGGCAUUUUUGGAAGCCCUUCGGGUUCAAGUCCCAGUAAACAACGUUCACAGGUCAGAUCCCUUGGAUGUCAGGACCGCAUCCAUGGAGAAGAGCUGCUCUGAGAGCAUCUGUAACCCUGCUAUGAGGGGGAGCCUCCCACGGGAAGCCUAAGGCCCUUGAGCCUGCUUUGAAAACCUGGGGCAUCUCAGCACAUGCACGGUGAGCUCCAAAGCCACGAAGGGGCCGGGGGCCUCGGGCUGCCCAUGUGCGCCCCGCCCAGAAAGCAGACAGACUGUUGGGCGUGCACCUUCUUCUAGGUCCCCUUGGGCUGUGUUUACCUGCAAGCUCCAUUUCCUGGGCGGCCAUAACUUGAACCUCCAACUGGUCCUUGGCAGCCAUCCUGCUGCCCUUCCUGCCCACGGGCUCCGUGGCUGACUGGCCUGGGAAGCUAGAGGCGACCUCUGAACCUGGACAAGCUACCAGGUCUCCAGGACUGAAGGUUAUCAUCUAAGUUGGUGUUCUCAACUGGAGGCGAUUUACCCCCCACCCAGGAGACAGUUGGCAAUGUCUGGAGGAAAUCUCUUGCCGGAAGCCGUGCCACAGAGCACACAGGCAGUUUGCAGAGAAGGAUGCAACCCACACCAUGUCCGAAGCGGGCUCUGGGGAAGGCAAGGUUUGAUUGUUUCUCAGGUUGUUUUACUGCCCUGCCCACACCCUCCCACCCAGAGAAGUUAUUCCUUCUGCAGCUGUGUGCGAUUUUUUCAGAAAGAGUUUUAGUCUUUGUUUUUCCCAAGACUUUGUAUUGCCUUUUCUCCUCUUCUUGGGCUUGAGUUUAGAUGGGACAUAACAGGAAAGGGCAAUGAAUCCCAAACCCAUUUUAUUUUUUGGUUCAUUUGUUGAUUUAU